rnacentral:rRNA from 1 species
CCCGUUGUACACACCGCCCGUCACACCAUGGAGUUGGUUUACCGUAAGCAGGUGCGCUAACCGCAAGGAGGCAGCCUACCACGGUAAGGUCAGCGACUGGGGUG